rnacentral:rRNA from 1 species
UACGAAGGGGGCUAGCGUUGCUCGGAAUCACUGGGCGUAAAGCGCACGUAGGCGGCUUGUUAAGUCAGGGGUGAAAUCCCAGAGCUCAACUCUGGAACUGCCUUUGAUACUGGGUAUCUUGAGUAUGGAAGAGGUGAGUGGAAUUCCGAGUGUAGAGGUGAAAUUCGUAGAUAUUCGGAGGAACACCAGUGGCGAAGGCGGCUCACUGGUCCAUUACUGACGCUGAGGUGCGAAAGCGUGGGGAGCAAACAGG